rnacentral:rRNA from 1 species
UACAGAGAUCUCAAGCGUUAAUCGGAGUCACUGGGCUUAAAGGGUGCGUAGGCCGACCCGCAAGUGCUUUGUGAAAUCCCACGGCUCAACCGUGGAAUAGCUUGGCAGACUGCGGGUCUUGAGGUCGGUAGGGGCAGCCGGAACUCUAGGUGGAGCGGUGAAAUGCGUAGAUAUCUAGAGGAACGCCGAAGGUGAAGACAGGCUGCUGGGCCGAUUCUGACGCUGAGGCACGAAAGCGUGGGGAGCAAAC